rnacentral:lncRNA from 1 species
AUGUCAAUAAAACCACAGACUUAUCAUUUCCUAUUGGCUUCUGCUGACUUUGAAUGCACUUCAUUUUUUUUCCUGCUGUUAUCAUUCUGCAAAUGCAAAAGAAUUGUUGUCCAGAACUAUGUUUGAUAUUGUAUGGGAACUGCUGAGUCAUGGCCUGAACCACUGAUUGAGCACCUGGAGGAAAGACCCAGUCAGCCCUGGGAGCACAGGUGAAGGCACCUGGCUCCAGACACUGGCUCCAGGGCUGACUGCCCCUGAGGAAGGAUCUCUUCCUGGAGAUCCCUCCUUGGUGGGAGUCUUUUCCUGCGAGCCCAAAAUCUUCUGAUCUGGGUGAGUGCUGCAUUUUCCUUCCACCUUUUGUAACACUAUUUCCAUUGCGUUAGUCCUUCUGAUUGCUACAGAUAUACAAAAUCCCUGGUCAGUGCUGGUGAUGUUCAGAUUUGAAUCAGUAAUCAGUCAUAUUUAAUCAGCACAUUAAGCUUCAUGAUUCCCUUUAUAAACAAU